GAGAACGCAGCGAAAUGCGAUAAGUAAUGUGAAUUGCAGAAUUCAGCGAAUCAUCGAAUCUUUGAACGCACAUUGCGCCCCCCGGCAUUCCGGGGGGCAUGCCUGUCCGAGCGUCAUUGCACCCCUCGAGCCCGCGCGGGUUUCGGUGUUGGGCCGCCGUCCCCCGGGGGGGGGGACGGGCCCGAAAGGCAGUGGCGGCCCCGGGGCGACUUCCCGCGCGAUCGCAGCACCUCGCGGCCGAAGCGUUCGCCCCGCGGGCCCGCCUGGACCACCAGUGUGACGUACCGGUUGACCUCGGAUCAGGCAGGGAUACCCGCUGAACUUAAGCAUAUCAAUAAGCGGAGGA
rnacentral:misc_RNA from 1 species